CUGAAAUCCAUUGUGUCCUGGUAUCCAGGGGUCA
rnacentral:sRNA from 1 species